rnacentral:rRNA from 1 species
GUCAACGGCCAUACCAUGCUGAACAUACCGGUUCUCGUCCGAUCACCGAAGUCAAGCAUCAAGCAGCAUCAGGCGUGGUUAGUACUUGGAUGGGGGACUGCUUGGGAACACCGCGUGCCGUUGGCA